GCACUGGUGGUUCAGUGGUAGAAUUCUCACCUGCCACGUGGGAGAUUCGGGUCCGAUUCCUUGCCAAUGGC
rfam:Danio rerio chromosome 4, GRCz11 reference primary assembly.